UACGGAGGGUGCAAGCGUUGCUCGGAAUUAUUGGGCGUAAAGGGUAGGUAGGUGGUCUCGUUUGUCUGGGGUGAAAUCCUUGAGCUUAACUCAAGAAGUGCCUCAGAAACGGCGAGACUAGAGUUCUGGAGAGGGUCGUGGAAUUCCCGGUGUAGCGGUGAAAUGCGUAGAGAUCGGGAGGAACACCAGAGGCGAAGGCGGCGACCUGGACAGAUACUGACACUAAACUACGAAAGCGUGGGGAGCAAACAGG
rnacentral:rRNA from 1 species